AACGAACGCUGGCGGCAUGCCUAACACAUGCAAGUCGAACGAGACCUUCGGGUCUAGUGGCGCACGGGUGCGUAACGCGUGGGAACCUGCCCUUAGGUUCGGCAUAACUCCCCGAAAGGGGUGCUAAUACCGGAUAAUGUCUUCGGACCAAAGAUUUAUCGCCUUUGGAUGGGCCCGCGUUGGAUUAGCUAGUUGUUAGGGUAAAAGCCUACCAAGGCGACGAUCCAUAGCUGGUCUGAGAGGAUGAUCAGCCACACUGGGACUGAGACACGGCCCAGACUCCUACGGGAGGCAGCAGUGGGGAAUAUUGGACAAUGGGCGAAAGCCUGAUGCAGCAAUGCCGCGUGAGUGAUGAAGGCCUUAGGGUUGUAAAGCUCUUUUAUCCGGGAUGAUAAUGACAGUACCGGGAGAAUAAGCUCCGGCUAACUCCGUG
rnacentral:rRNA from 1 species